CUUAGUCCAAUCCAAACUCCUUAGUCCAAUCCAAAGUUCCAAACUCAAUAGGCCAUAGACAAAUCCAACCCAAAAUACUAACGGUUUUUUGGCUCCUCAUUCCGUAGUCGACAGCAAGUCUGCAAUUGCUCUGCACUCGAAGCAAACUUAUGCCCGUCGCCGUUGCAGUUGCCGCCGUUGCCAUUCUUAUCUAGAGCUGAAAUUAUGGGCUCAGAGAUGGAAAUAGUUGAGCAGAGGCUAAAAGCUUUUGCUGGUCAGCUCCAGACAGAGUUUGCCAUACUUGAUCGACUCGUUUACAAAAACAAGAACCAGCAUAGAAGAUGCUCUUAUUUUCAGUACCUCUUAAAGGUGAGAAGAGAUUUGAGGCUCUUCCAAGCAGCUAAUUUGGAGGAGGUUUUGAGUUCCUCCUUUCAAGUUCUUUAUGGGAAAAGACCCAAGCAAAAAGUGCAACUGUUAGAAAGGUACUUUGACCCCUUUAUAAAGUACCUAUUUGUUGGUUUUAAGAUUUUGAAUAUUUUAAUUCUUCUAGUUAUCAUACACUAUGAAGGUAACUAUGAAGAUUUUGAAUAUUUUAAGAUUUUGAAUAUUUGUUGGUUUCAAGAACAAGGGUGAUAUCCAAAAUUGCAACAAUUAUAGGGGUAUCAAGCUGUUGAGUCACACUAUGAAGGUUUGGGAGAGGGUGGUGGAGGCCAGGGUGAGGAGGUGCGUGUCUAUUUCCGAGAAUCAGUUUGGAUUCAUGCCGGGGCGUUCGACUACGGAAGCGAUUCAUCUGAUAAGGAGAUUAGUGGAGCAGUACAGGGAGAGGAAGAAGGACUUGUAUAUGGUGUUUAUUAACCUUGAGAAAGCAUACGAUAAAGUCCCGAGGGAGGUCCUGUGGAAGUGUUUGGAGGUUAGCGGCCUUCCGGUAGCGUACAUUAGGGUGAUUAAGGAUAUGUAUGAUGAUGCUAAGACUCGGGUGAGGACUGUGGGUGGUGACUCAGAGCAUUUCCCUGUGGUGAUGGGGUUGCAUCAGGAUCGGCUCUUAGCCCGUUUUUAUUUGCCUUGGCGAUGGAUGUACUGUCGCGACACAUCCAAGGGGAGGUGCCUUAGUGCAUGCUAUUUGUCGAUGAUAUAGUGUUGAUUGACGAGACGCGAAGCGGAGUUAACGCGAGGUUGGAGGUUUGGAGACAGACUUUGGAGUCUAAAGGUUUCAAACUGAGUAGAACCAAGACAGAAUACUUGGAGUGCAAAUUCAGUGAUGUGACCCAUGAAGCAGACGUAGAGGUAAAGCUUGAUGCUCAAGUUAUACCCAAGAGAGCGAGUUUUAAGUAUCUCGGGUCUAUUAUCCAAGGUAACAGGGAGAUUGACGAAGAUGUCGCACAUCGCAUCGGAGCAGGAUGGAUGAGGUGGGGGCUCGCCUCCGGUGUUUUAUGUGAUAAGAGUGUGCCGCCAAGACUUAAGGGUAAGUUUUAUAGAGUGGUGGUUCGACCAGCUAUGCUGU